rnacentral:rRNA from 1 species
AGUGAACGCUGGCGGUAGGCCUAACACAUGCAAGUCGAACGGCAGCACAGUAAGAGCUUGCUCUUACGGGUGGCGAGUGGCGGACGGGUGAGGAAUACAUCGGAAUCUACUUUUUCGUGGGGGAUAACGUAGGGAAACUUACGCUAAUACCGCAUACGACCUACGGGUGAAAGCAGGGGAUCUUCGGACCUUGCGCGAUUGAAUGAGCCGAUGUCGGAUUAGCUAGUUGGCGGGGUAAAGGCCCACCAAGGCGACGAUCCGUAGCUGGUCUGAGAGGAUGAUCAGCCACACUGGAACUGAGACACGGGCCAGACUCCUAAGGGAGGCAGCAGUGGGGAAUAUUGGACCAUGGGCGGAAGCCUGAUCCAGCCAUACCGCGUGGGUGAAGAAGGCCUUCGGGUUUUAAAGCCCUUUUGUUGGGAAAGAAAAGCAGCAGGUUAAUACCCCGCUGUUCUGACGGUACCCAAAGAAUAAGCACCGGCUAACUUCGUG